rnacentral:rRNA from 1 species
CCGGGCGCACGGGUGCGUAACGCGUAUGCAACCUACCAUCAACAGGGGGAUAACACUGAGAAAUUGGUACUAAUACCCCAUAAUAUCUCAUGCGGCAUCGCAUGGGGUUGAAAACUCCGGUGGUUGAUGAUGGGCAUGCGUUGUAUUAGCUGGUUGGUGAGGUAACGGCUCACCAAGGCGACGAUACAUAGGGGGACUGAGAGGUUAACCCCCCACAUUGGUACUGAGACACGGACCAAACUCCUACGGGAGGCAGCAG